CACGUAGGCGGCUUUCUAAGUCGGGGGUGAAAUCCUGGAGCUCAACUCCAGAACUGCCUUCGAUACUGGAGAGCUCGAGUCCGGGAGAGGUGAGUGGAACUGCGAGUGUAGAGGUGAAAUUCGUAGAUAUUCGCAAGAACACCAGUGGCGAAGGCGGCUCACUGGCCCGGUACUGACGCUGAGGUGCGAAAGCGUGGGAGCAAACA
rnacentral:rRNA from 1 species